AGCUGGGAAUAAUGGCCAGACCUCCAAAAUAAAGUCCACUGAAGUAACACAGACUUCAGAGGCAUCGGCUGAACCUCAAAGUAGCGUAGAGCCGGACGGACCUUCUGUUAAUGUGUUUACAACAGACUAUGCAGAGGAGACGAAACCUAAACUGUGCCAUCUCUGUGGUGAUGAGCCAAUAAGUAACAACUGAAUAACUGAUACACAAGCUUGGCCCUGUUACUUGAACUUGUGAUGCUCACUCUUAACAUCUACCAGUACAGGAGGAAGAAGACUGUGUUGGCGCUGAAAUCCUACAGUCCGACAGGAGAGACCAGUUUGCCUGGGUCCCCGGUGCUUAGUGAGAGAGCUCCUCUAACCCGACACCCUAUGAAAACUGCUCAAUCCCCCUCCAUCCAGCGAGGCGAGAUCCGUGUUGAAUGGAAAGAUGGAACAGUCACCCCCCUGUUUGAAACAUAUUUAACUGACUAAGUGUUGUCUUAUAGAUGAAAAGUCUUUGAGUAACUUGUGUAUUGUUCCCAAGCAAACUGACAGAAAUGUACUGGUUGCUUUAUUCAGAUAAACUAAUUAGUUAUGAUUCAACAAUACUUUUUCUAAAUAAUGACCCUUGUCCAGGGAAUCACUCCCAAUUUUAUGAUCAUUGUCCAUGUAUUUAUUUAUUUGAUAUGUAGCUGUGUUAUGAGUGGGAUAAAAUUAUUGCAAGAAAAUAAAGAUACAAUCACAUAGUCAUUGUCACAACUUUAACACAAGCAUAUUGAUCAGGACUUAGCGUUCUCUGUCUUAUCCCAUAAAAUUAUUUCAAAUCAAAUCCGUAUUUCAUGUGACUGUUAUUAUCUCUUAUAUAUCCAAUAUCUUUAAAAAAAAAAAAAAAAAAAAAAAUUCACAAACAUCUGUUGGGUUUGCGAACAGAAUGCCAUCCCUCUGCUGAAUUUUGAAAAACUGCAGGUUGGGUCCUGAUCAAAGACAAUAUUCGGUACCUUGCCAAAAAGUCAUAAGGUAACUUCAGGUCAAAUAUAGAUCAAACUGAAUGUUUUUAAACCAAGUGUUGUGUUUAACAGUAGAUUAUUCUUGAAUUACAUAGGCCUGUAUCUGCAAUUGUUUUUUUUUUAUCCUGAAGGCAGGUGUCUUGUUAGGAAUUAGUGUAAAAUAUAUGAAAACCAUUUGUAUUAAAUUAUUUUAG